rnacentral:rRNA from 1 species
CAGUCGCCGCGGUAAUACGAAGGGGGCUAGCGUUGUUCGGAUUUACUGGGCGUAAAGCGCACGUAGGCGGACGCUUAAGUCAGGGGUGAAAUGCCGAGGCUCAACCUCGGAACUGCCUUUGAUACUGGGUGUCUUGAGUCCGGGAGAGGUGAGUGGAACUGCGAGUGUAGAGGUGAAAUUCGUAGAUAUUCGCAAGAACACCAGUGGCGAAGGCGGCUCACUGGCCCGGAACUGACGCUGAGGUGCGAAAGCGUGGGGAGCAAACAGGAUUAGAUACCCCCGUAGUCCCUGUCUCUUAUAA